rnacentral:sRNA from 1 species
GCUGGGCAUGUUGGCGCACACCUGUAAUCCCAGCAACUUGGGAGGCUGAGGCAGGAGACUCUCGAGUUCAAAGCCAGCCUCAGCAACAGCGAGGCACUAAGCAACUCAGUGAGACCCUGUCUCUA